rnacentral:rRNA from 1 species
CCAGCACCCGAGUGGUCGGGACGAUUAUUGGGCCUAAAGCAUCCGUAGCCGGUCCUGCAAGUCUUACCGUUAAAUCCAGCUGCUUAACAGAGUGGGCUGCGGAGGAUACUACAAGGCUAGGAGGCGGGAGAGGCAAGCGGUACUCAGUGGGUAAGGGGUAAAAUCCUCUGAUCCAUUGAAGACCACCAGUGGCGAAGGCGGCUUGCCAGAACGCGCUCGACGGUGAGGGAUGAAAGCUGGGGGAGCAAACCGGAUUAGAUACCCGGGUAGUCCCAGCUGUAAACGAUGCAGACUCGGUGAUGGGCCGGCUUUAUGCCGGCUCAGUGCCGCAGGGAAGCCGUUAAGUCUGCCGCCUGGGGAGUACGGUCGCAAGACUG